rnacentral:lncRNA from 1 species
AGUUGUUUCUGAGUUGAAAAGUGUAAUUUGAAGAUUAUCAAGGUAAAUAACUUACUAUAAAAUAUUUUAAUUGCUGCCAAUUAAGUACUGUAUGCUUAACUUGAGUGAAUGCCCUGCUAUGUAAUAUACAUUUAAGUGCAACAUUUACACACUACAUAGAACAAAGAUAUUGUUAAAUAACAAUAAACUUGUAGAAAUUUAAAAAAAAUAGAAAAAAAAAUACUAAAGAAACCAGAAAUACAGGACAGAAAAAUUAAAAAAGAAAAAAACUAAAAAAAGACUACAAAAUGGUCCUAAUAAUUUAAUCUGCACAAGAACAUAAACACUAUACAAAAAGACUGCUGAAAAUUACUCUACUAAAAUGUGUUCUUUUGAUAAAGAAAAGACAAAACAGCAAAGUAAGGCAGGCCAAUAAAGUCCAAAGACUAUAACACAUAUUUAUAAGCACUGUUAUAUACAAAUAAACUAUACAAAAUCAUGUAUUACAAUUCAAGGAGGCAAUUAAACAAGAAUAAUAAAUAUAAAUUAAAGUAAUCAAGGGCCAAUGUAAACAUCAAAAUAAAAUUUAACACAAUGAAGAAAUAGUUUAACUAGAAAGUCAAUGAAGGAUUUGGUGUAUAAAGUAUUGAACACCGGAUGUUGAGUAUCAAUAUGCUCCUAGGCAAAUUGACUAUUGGAACUUUUUUUCACCAGAUUUGAGUAUGACACGCCAGCCACUCCUUCAAACACCCCUACAGAUCCAAGCCACACAUUUGGUGUCAACACGCCGGCCCCUCCUACAAACACCCCCCCAUGGCGAAGCCGCACGCUCCGAUCGGC